GCGCUCGUGCCCUGCCUGCCAUAAAUCCCUCGGAAACCCCGGCCGGCCAGCUCUACCAGGGAGGAGCGCAAUGGAGGCCAACUUUUGGGACUGGCUCCACCACGGCGGCGCCAUGCUCCCGCGGCCCAGCCAUCCCCUCGUGCACCCGGACCCGGAGGUUGCUGCUGCUGCGGCGGCGGCGGAGCAGGGGCAGGCUCCGGCUGCAGGAGCUCAGGGCCCGGCUCCAGCUGCAGCGGUGGCUCAGGGGCAGCCGGCUGCGGCGGCGGCGCAGGGGCAGGCGAUUGUGGCGGCGCAGGGGCAGGGGCAGGGGGUUGUAGCAGCUCAGGGGCAGGGGCAGGGCCCGGCUCCGGCUGCGGCGGCGCAGGGGGGAAACGCGAACGGGGACGCGCCGCCGCCCGGGGUGCUGAUGGUGGACCUGCUGGGGGCGCCGGGGACGCGCUGGGGGCUCGGCACCCGCCUCGCGCAGGCCGUCUUCGCGGCCGCCGCCGUCGCCUCCAUGGCCUCCACCGACGACUUCCGCGUCGUCACCGCCUUCAGCCUCCUCAUCGCAGCAGCAAGCCUGCAAUGCCUGUGGAGCCUUGCUCUGGGCGCUGUGGACAUCUACGCACUUCUUGUCAAGCGUGCCUUCCGGUCUCCUCGAGCUACCACCAUGUACUCCAUCGGGGACUGGCGUUUUGUCUGCAGGUCCAGGUGCGCCGACGUUCGCUGCAGCAAGUGGAUCGGCAGGCAUCACCAUUCUCCUCAACGACGACCUGAUGAUGUGCUCGGAGAACCACUGCCCAAGCUUCAUGGCCGCCACCGCCAUGGCUUUCUUUAGCUGGUUUGCGAUCGCGCCGUCCUGCCUCUUUAACCUCAUGAUGGCGGUCUACAGAGUGCAGAGAGCUUAGUAGUUCGCGGGGCAAGCACUGGGCUGUUUGACCAACUAGGUGGCACAUCUGAUACAGUUAUACAAUGGCACCGCAUUAUCGACAUUUCUGUAGUAACUAGGGAGUACAUAACUCUGAUGUUCAGAAGGGUGGCUGUGAAGCUCUGCGUUCUGUUUUCAGCAGCGUGUGGAUGCAUGCCUUCUUAUUAUGUGAGGCUUGGCUGGAGGUUGUGAUCUGGAGAUGAACUAACUGAUGUGCUACUUUGUUUAGAGCUCAAGGUUGCUGAUAUGAUAAUUAUAUCUGAUUCUGUUUCGUAACUUUUUUGUCGAUAUCCGGAUCUUAGGCCCUGAGAUUACUUGUGUGUAGCGCCGUUGUCGCUUACGAGUGCCGAAUUAUCAGUUCGUCGAGGAGGCCCUUGGUUGUUCUUCUAAAUAAAAACCCCAGUGCAUUCUUAGUGCCCCUUGGUCAGAGUCUUUUCUCAGGAUGUUAGUGCCGAUAGAUGUUGAUGCCAGUAGAUGGCAUCAGAGUUCCGGCUGAAAAUCAUUUUUACAUGGCUUUUACUGCUGUGAUGAUCUGAACAAAAUGAUCUGCCAGUACCGGUUCAUGAGAGGUGAUUAGUAACAAUCAUGUAAGUUGUGCGACAAGCAGAACAUAUGCUUCACUUUCUUAAGAGUACAUAAGUGUUAAGUGGAGAAGCACAAGUUUCAAUAUUUGAAAGUAAUUUAGACUGAAAUAUGCACCAUGCUGCGUAUAUCAGUCUAAAUUUCAUGCCCCAGAAACCCAGAGCUGAAGAAAAACGAUCCUUGUAUUAUUUGUUCUUAUGUUAAUAGU